rnacentral:rRNA from 1 species
UACGGAGGGUGCAAGCGUUGUCCGGAUUUAUUGGGUUUAAAGGGUGCGCAGGCGGGGGGGUCAGUCCGCGGUGAAAGACGAUCGCUCAACGAUUGCAGUGCCGUGGAUACUGCCCUUCUUGAAUCUGGUUGAGGCCGGUGGAAUUGACCGUGUAGCGGUGAAAUGCAUAGAUAUGGUCAAGAACUCCAAUUGCGAAGGCAGCCGGCUGGGCCAGCAUUGACGCUCAGGCACGAGAGUGCGGGGAUCAAACAGGAUUAGAUACCCUGGUAGUCCGCACCGUAAACGAUGAUGACUAGGUGUUGGCCCCCUGCGGGUCAGUGCCACAGCGAAAGCGUUAAGUCAUCCACCUGGGGAGUACGCCGGCAACGGUGAA